rnacentral:rRNA from 1 species
UCCAGACUCCUACGGGAGGCAGCAGUGGGGGAUAUUGCACAAUGGGGGGAACCCUGAUGCAGCGACGCCGCGUGGGUGAAGGAGCGUUUCGGCGCGUAAAGCCCUAUCGGCAGGGAAGAAGGAGGACGGUACCUGACUAAGAAGCCCCGGCUAACUACGUGCCAGCAGCCGCGGUAAUACGUAGGGGGCAAGCGUUAUCCGGAUUUACUGGGUGUAAAGGGGGCGCAGACGGCAGCGCAAGCCAGGAGUGAAAGCCCGCGGCUCAACUGCGGGACUGCUUUUGGAACUAUCUAGCUAGAUUGCAGGAGAGGUAAGUGGAAUUCCUAGUGUAGCGGUGAAAUGCGUAGAUAUUAGGAGGAACACCAGUGGCGAAGGCGGCUUACUGGACUGUAAAUGACGCUGAGGCUCGAAAGCGUGGGGAGCAAACAGGAUUAGAUACCCCAGUAGU